rnacentral:rRNA from 1 species
AACGUAGGAGGCGAGCGUUAUCCGGAUUCACUGGGCGUAAAGCGCAUGUAGGUGGUUCGUUAAGUGGGUGGUGAAAGCCUCUGGCUCAACUGGGGGAGGUCCACCCAAACUGGCGGACUCGAGGUCCAGAGAGGAAGGUGGAAUUCCCGGUGUAGCGGUGGAAUGCGUAGAGAUCGGGAGGAACACCAGUGGCGAAGGCGGCCUUCUGGCUGGAUACUGACACUGAGAUGCGAAAGCGUGGGGAGCAAAC